GACGAACCGCCCAAACGUUGUUCGGAAUCACUGGGCUUAAAGGGCGCGUAGGCGGCGAAUCAAGUCAGGGGUGAAAUCCGGCAGCUUAACUGUCGAAGUGCCUUUGAUACUGGUUUGCUCGAGGGAUAUAGGGGUCUGUGGAACUUCUGGUGGAGCGGUGAAAUGCGUUGAUAUCAGAAGGAACGCCGGUGGCGAAAGCGACGGACUGGAUAUCUUCUGACGCUGAGGCGCGAAAGCUAGGGGAGCAAACGGG
rnacentral:rRNA from 1 species